GAUGUUUGAUCCUGGCUCAGGAUGAACGCUAGCGGCAGGCUUAACACAUGCAAGUCGAGGGGUAGAGGAAGCUUGCUUCCUUGAGACCGGCGCACGGGUGCGUAACGCGUAUGCAACCUACCUUUUACAGAGGGAUAGCCCAGAGAAAUUUGGAUUAAUACCUCAUGGUAUAUAUCAUUCGCAUGUUUGAUAUAUUAAAGUUCCAACGGUAAAAGAUGGGCAUGCGUCCUAUUAGCUAGAUGGUAAGGUAACGGCUUACCAUGGCAACGAUAGGUAGGGGUCCUGAGAGGGAGAUCCCCCACACUGGUACUGAGACACGGACCAGACUCCUACGGGAGGCAGCAGUGAGGAAUAUUGGACAAUGGGCGCAAGCCUGAUCCAGCCAUGCCGCGUGCAGGAAGAAGCAUCUAUGGUGUGUAAACUGCUUUUGUACGGGAAGAAACACUCCUUCGUGAAGGAGCUUGACGGUACCGUAAGAAUAAGGAUCGGCUAACUCCGUGCCAGCAGCCGCGGUAAUACGGAGGAUCCAAGCGUUAUCCGGAAUCAUUGGGUUUAAAGGGUCCGUAGGCGGUUUGGUAAGUCAGUGGUGAAAGCCCGCAGCUCAACUGUGGAACGGCCAUUGAUACUGCCAGACUUGAAUUACAAGGAAGUAACUAGAAUAUGUAGUGUGGCGGUGAAAUGCUUAGAUAUUACAUGGAAUACCAAUUGCGAAGGCAGGUUACUACUUGUGGAUUGACGCCGAUGGACGAAAGCGUGGGGAGCGAACAGGAUUAGAUACCCUGGUAGUCCACGCCGUAAACGAUGGAUACUAGCUGUUGGGGGCAACUUCAGUGGCUAAGCGAAAGUGAUAAGUUCCCACCUGGGA
rnacentral:rRNA from 1 species